AACGAACGCUGGCAGCAUGCCUAACACAUGCAAGUCGAACGAGACCUUCGGGUCUAGUGGCGCACGGGUGCGUAACGCGUGGGAACCUGCCCUUAGGUUCGGAAUAACUCCCCGAAAGGGGUGCUAAUACCGGAUAAUGUCUUCGGACCAAAGAUUUAUCGCCUUUGGAUGGGCCCGCGUUGGAUUAGCUAGUUGGUAGGGUAAAAGCCUACCAAGGCGACGAUCCAUAGCUGGUCUGAGAGGAUGAUCAGCCACACUGGGACUGAGACACGGCCCAGACUCCUACGGGAGGCAGCAGUGGGGAAUAUUGGACAAUGGGCGAAAGCCUGAUACAGCAAUGCCGCGUGAGUGAUGAAGGCCUUAGGGUUGUAAAGCUCUUUUACCCGGGAUGAUAAUGACAGUACCGGGAGAAUAAGCUCCGGCUAACUCCGUG
rnacentral:rRNA from 1 species